rnacentral:rRNA from 1 species
AUUGAACGCUGGCGGCAGGCCUAACACAUGCAAGUCGAGCGGAUGACAGGAGCUUGCUCCUGGAUUCAGCGGCGGACGGGUGAGUAAUGCCUAGGAAUCUGCCUAUUAGUUGGGGACAACGUUUCGAAAGGAACGCUAAUACCGCAUACGUCCUACGGGAGAAAGCAGGGGACCUUCGGGCCUUGCGCUAAUAGAUGAGCCUAGGUCGGAUUAGCUAGUUGGUGGGGUAAUGGCUCACCAAGGCGACGAUCCGUAACUGGUCUGAGAGGAUGAUCAGUCACACUGGAACUGAGACACGGUCCAGACUCCUACGGGAGGCUG